AACCUGGUACAAUCUCGCUGAAAUGGAAAAACUCGUUGCAUGAUAUUGAGCCAACAUGCAGAUUAGAAUUAUUAGAAAGAAAAUUCAGAACAAGGAUAUGGGCAACAAUGAAAAUAACAAGCAAAUGGAGAACAGAGACAUUGAAAAUCAGUGAAAGUAUUAGACAAAGAGAUUCCUUAAGCCCGUUUCUGUUCAACGUAAUCAUGAACAGAAUAAUAGAUGCAGUCAAGCAGCAUGAAGGGUACCGCAUAAACGGAAAAAAAUUAAUAUAUUGUGUUACGCAGAUGAUGCUGUUUUAAUAAUUUGCAUAUAACGAAAACGAUCCACAAAGGGGAAGAUCAUAGAACAAGUCAUGUCAUUCAACCAUCUAGAUGUCGAAAUAAUAAGUUGCAAAAACCUAGAAGAGAAGGCAAUAGCUCAAACAAGGCAACGAGAGUAGCGGGAUGCCUGAGAGACACAGUUUAGAGGAAUAAAUAGAUGAUGUUGGAAAGUGAGAAUUUACAAAACAAUGGUACGGUCAAUCCUCAUAUAUGCCACUGAAACAAGAGUCGAAACGAAGAGAACUAAACAGAAAAAAAGAGCAGCAGAGAUGAAAAUCUUAAAGUCAAUAACGGAUAUAUCACUAAGAGAUGGACAAACCAGCAAGAAUAUAAGGGGGGAAAUACGAAAUACAGGACGUAAUUAAAUGGUCCAAGAUAAGAAAAAAGCAAUGGAAUGAGCAUGCGAGUCGAAUGGAAGAAAAUGAACUCUCUCUAAUGAAGCUCUAAUUUGUAAAAACAGACGAUCCAGAACGACCAUUAGAUGAUGACUCACUCAAAAGAUGAGCUCAGAGCUAGUUCUCAUUAUCUUUAGAAUAAACCAGACCAGGAAAACCUAGUCAGGAAGAAAAAAAAUUCAGAACUGUAUAGAUUUAUUUACAAGUGAUAAAAAUAUAUGUUUGAGCACUCAAGCUGAUGCGAUUCACAUACAAUCGUUCAUUCACUACUUAUUAUCACCACCAGGAUUCAAAUGUAUGCUGCAAUGUGCUUAGCAUGCGUCCAAAUUAACAGAAAGUCGACAUUUUUUAUAACAUUAAUCAACAAUGCUUUCCAAGCAACGUCCCUAAUCAAAAGUGCGUUUGUGAACAACACAAUUCUUUUAUCACAUAUAUUUGGCACAAAAAAUAUUUGUUUCCAAUGUUUUUAUACAGCUUUUCAUUCUCAACAUUGCGACAUGUAUACAAUUUUGUAAUAUGUAAGAAAAAUAUAUUCCACUUU
rnacentral:lncRNA from 1 species